AGCAGGUCCAGUCUCUCUGUGUACUGUGAGAGAGUAGCAGGUCCAGUCUCUCUGUGUACUGUGAGAGAGUAGCAGGUCCAGUCUCUCUGUGUACUGUGAGAGAGUAGCAGGUCCAGUCCAGGUGUACUGUGAGAGAGUAGCAGGUCCAGUCUCUCUGUGUACUGUGAGAGAGUAGCAGGUCCAGUCUCUCUGUGUACUGUGAGAGAGUAGCAGGUCCAGUCUCUCUGUGUACUGUGAGAGAGUAGCAGGUCCAGUCCAGGUGUACUGUGAGAGAGUAGCAGGUCCAGUCCAGGUGUACUGUGAGAGAGUAGCAGGUCCAGUCCAGGUGUACUGUGAGAGAGUAGCAGGUCCAGUCCAGGUGUACUGUGAGAGAGUAGCAGGUCCAGUCCAGGUGUACUGUGAGAGAGUAGCAGGUCCAGUCCAGGUGUACUGUGAGAGAGUAGCAGGUCCAGUCCAGGUGUACUGUGAGAGAGUAGCAGGUCCAGUCCAGGUGUACUGUGAGAGAGUAGCAGGUCCAGUCCAGGUGUACUGUGAGAGAGUAGCAGGUCCAGUCCAGGUGUACUGUGAGAGAGUAGCAGGUCCAGUCCAGGUGUACUGUGAGAGAGUAGCAGGUCC